GGCGAUAUGGCCGAGCGGUCUAAGGCGCUAGAAUCAGGCGUACAGCCAAUCUAGUCCGAAAGGGCGUGGGUUCGAAUCCCACUGUCGUCA